rnacentral:rRNA from 1 species
UUGUUGUUGUUGUUGUUGUUGUGUAUCAACAACAGCAGCAGCAGCAGCAGAAAAAUGGCUAGCUCGAACAAGAACGAGUCUCUUUUCUCGAUCGACGACCUCAAGCAACAGGAAAAACAAA